rnacentral:rRNA from 1 species
CGCGUGGGAACAUACCCUUUUCUAAGGAAUAGCCACGUGGAAACGGUGAGUAAUACCUUAUACGCCCUUCGGGGGAAAGAUUUAUCGGUGAAGGAUUGGCCCGCGUUAGAUUAGUUAGGUUGGUGGGGUAACGGCCUACCAAGGCGACGAUCUAUAGCUGGUUUGAGAGGAUGAUCAGCAACACUGGGACUGAGACACGGCCCAG